CAGGACGACCGGGAGAAGAAGGAGGCGGACGUCGUGACCAGUCCUGACGUGAUGGGCCGGCCUCGUAUACCAGGAACGCGCGUUCGCUCACGCACAUAUACGCACGGGCGAUGAAGGAAGAAGCGCGCGCCUUCUCCCGCAUAUAGCGGCGAGCGCCAAAACCGCCAUUAUACGGGUACGAGCACGGGGCCGUCAAAGUUUAUACCACGUUGAUCUCUCUCGUGCAGCGCUGCGGGACAGAGGCUCCUCUGCUGGCGCAUGUGGGAGCCCCGGGGCGUCAACGAUGCGGCGGAGAGCUUUAAUGACGAGGAGGCUAUGCAGGACAGCGGCUAUGUAGGAGGCGCCGCUGGGACGCUGGGUGUCGUGCCACGGUCAAGAACAAAGUCUUCCUCGAGCAAGCGGAGAUGAUCGACCGCCGGCGGACAGCGGAGUGAGGGAAGGUGGCGCUUUCCCGUUUCCAUUGUGGUACACUCGGUGGCCUGGAGCGAAAACGAAAGCGGCAAUGAUGGCUGCUGCAUUCCUUCGGGAGCCCUCGCCACGGGGGUGCGAUUUUCAAGAUCACCGGAUAGUUGAGCUUCGGGCAAGUAUGCGGAAACAUCAGCUGGAAAAAAAGUACCAGUCAGCACGAGCAUUCAAGCAUCCAUGCACUCACCAUGGCAUUCUCCAAGUUCAAAGUUCACGAAUCCGCGCCUCUUCCCCAUCCUUAAUAGAUGGGCUUCCCGGCUGCUACCGGCAAAAGCCGCAAUCAAGCCAAUUCAGGUCGAGGGCCCUUACAGAAGAACAAGUUGAAGAAGACGAAACAAACAAGAAGCAAAGGCAAUAAUUUCAUCUAAGCGAGAACUACACGGCGACGUUAAAGUAUAGCAAUAUUGCAGCAAAGCACUAACAUGGUAAUGUGUGAGAAAAGUGUCAACCAAACGCUCAACUAAUGAAAAUACAAGGACGUCAAUAAUCUGGCGAUAACGGUUAUAUGGUCAUGGGAGAAAUAUUCUAUUGUAGUUCAGUGACUUCUACAGAGACGCCAAGCUCGGUGAGCAAACAAAGAAGCUGAAGCAGCGACUCGUGUCGAGCCUGUAUUCGCAGUACUGCGUGUUCUUGAAGAUUGUCGUGUAGACUCAAUGUACCGAGCAACAACAGCGCACGACGAACAGGAAUCAAAGUAUAUGGGCCAAACAAUGAAACCCUCCUUUCCUCAGUAAGGAAGCCUUCAUUGCGGUGAGGCCACCUUAUGUCACUUUGAAAGCUUCCUAACUGAGGCGCCCUCGGUGAAGGCUUCCUUGGUACUUCCUCAGCAUAAGCAGCCAAACAAUGAAAUCUUCCUUUACCUCACUAAGGAAGCCUUCAUUGCGGUGAGGCUACCUUAUGUCACUCUGAAAGCUUCCUUGCUGAGGGGCCCUCGGUGAAGGCUUCCUUGGUGCUUCCUCAGCGUAAGGUAGCUCCAAAGCUACCUUCAUGCGUCCUUACGCCG